rnacentral:rRNA from 1 species
GCNCNGUUUGCGCGUUCCUAUAAUGCAGUCGAGCGGACCGACGGGAGCUUGCUCCCUUAGGUCAGCGGCGGACGGGUGAGUAACACGUGGGUAACCUGCCUGUAAGACUGGGAUAACUCCGGGAAACCGGGGCUAAUACCGGAUGCUUGAUUGAACCGCAUGGUUCAAUCAUAAAAGGUGGCUUUUAGCUACCACUUACAGAUGGACCCGCGGCGCAUUAGCUAGUUGGUGAGGUAACGGCUCACCAAGGCGACGAUGCGUAGCCGACCUGAGAGGGUGAUCGGCCACACUGGGACUGAGACACGGCCCAGACUCCUACGGGAGGCAGCAGUAGGGAAUCUUCCGCAAUGGACGAAAGUCUGACGGAGCAACGCCGCGUGAGUGAUGAAGGUUUUCGGAUCGUAAAACUCUGUUGUUAGGGAAGAACAAGUACCGUUCGAAUAGGGCGGUACCUUGACGGUACCUAACCAGAAAGCCACGGCUAACUACGUGCCAGCAGCCGCGGUAAUACGUAGGUGGCAAGCGUUGUCCGGAAUUAUUGGGCGUAAAGCGCGCGCAGGCGGUUUCUUAAGUCUGAUGUGAAAGCCCCCGGCUCAACCGGGGAGGGUCAUUGGAAACUGGGGAACUUGAGUGCAGAAGAGGAGAGUGGAAUUCCACGUGUAGCGGUGAAAUGCGUAGAGAUGUGGAGGAACACCAGUGGCGAAGGCGACUCUCUGGUCUGUAACUGACGCUGAGGCGCGAAAGCGUGGGGAGCGAACAGGAUUAGAUACCCUGGUAGUCCACGCCGUAAACGAUGAGUGCUAAGUGUUAGAGGGUUUCCGCCCUUUAGUGCUGCAGCAAACGCAUUAAGCACUCCGCCUGGGGAGUACGGUCGCAAGACUGAAACUCAAAGGAAUUGACGGGGGCCCGCACAAGCGGUGGAGCAUGUGGUUUAAUUCGAAGCAACGCGAAGAACCUUACCAGGUCUUGACAUCCUCUGACAACCCUAGAGAUAGGGCUUCCCCUUCGGGGGCAGAGUGACAGGUGGUGCAUGGUUGUCGUCAGCUCGUGUCGUGAGAUGUUGGGUUAAGUCCCGCAACGAGCGCAACCCUUGAUCUUAGUUGCCAGCAUUCAGUUGGGCACUCUAAGGUGACUGCCGGUGACAAACCGGAGGAAGGUGGGGAUGACGUCAAAUCAUCAUGCC